UACGUAGGGUGCAAGCGUUAAUCGGAAUUACUGGGCGUAAAGCGUGCGCAGGCGGUUGUGCAAGACCGAUGUGAAAUCCCCGGGCUUAACCUGGGAAUGGCAUUGGUGACUGCACGGCUAGAGUGUGUCAGAGGGGGGGUAGAAUUCCACGUGUAGCAGUGAAAUGCGUAGAGAUGUGGAGGAACACCGGUGGCGAAGGCGGCACUCUGGGACGGUACUGACGCUGAGACGCGAAAGCGUGGGGAGCGAACAGG
rnacentral:rRNA from 1 species